UUUCGUAUGUUAUCUAUGUAAAAUAAAAACAACCUACCUUAAACAAAAAAAAACAAAAAAAAAAACACUGUCUGUUUCGAAGACUUCAAGCACAAAUUUAAGGACGCACAUACAGAGGCUGCAUCCAUCUAAACUGAAAGAGUUACAGAGAAUGCAGCAGCAAUUCAGUAAGAAGAUAUCAACACCCUUCAUUCGAGAACAGACUUCCUCAAGCUCAUCAAGUCCAAUUCAGUAUUUCAUGAGGGAUGUGGCAACAGUGUCCCAGGCAAAAUUCAACAAUCUGCUUCUGAAUUUUGUUAUUCAGGGGCUUUAUCCCCUCAGUAUUGUUGAACAGGCAGAAUUUAAAGAAUUAUUUAAGCAGGUACUGCCUUCAAGGUAUGUGAUGUCUAGAAAGACAUUAGUCAGAAUGCUAGAUGAUCAAUACAAUUCCAUGAAGGCAGAUAUAUGUAAAAUUCUGUCUGAGCAAGAAUUUGUAGCAACAACCACAGAUGCAUGGUCUGCAAAUGACAAGAGCUGUCUGGGAGUCACUGUUCACUGGAUAGAUUCAGACACGCUUACCAUCUCUUCAGGGGCUUUAGCUUGCCGAAGGAUCAAGGGAAGGCACACUUAUGACAAUCUGGCAGAGAUGCUUGAAGGUGUCCACAUGGAAUUCAGCAUUCAAAACAAAGUUGUGUUAACCACUACAGACAACGGUUAAAAUUUUGUAAAAGCAUUUAGUGUGUUUGCAGCUGAAGAAGAGGUGACUGAAGAUGAUGAAGAAAAUGGCGAAGAGGCAGAUGUUGAGUUCAAUGAUGUUGCAGCAUUUCUAAAUGAGACCGAAAAGGAGGAUGACUACCACUUGCCAGUUCAUCAACGCUGUGCCUGCCAUUCUCUCCACUUGAUUGAAACCAGAUGCUGAGGCAGCAGUGGAAGAUGCUUCAUUUAAAAAGAUUUCAAGGGCAGCUUUUGCUAAAUGUCAAAGCCUUUGGAAUAAGCAGAGUAGAAGCACCCAAGCUUCUGAUGCCAUUAAAGACAGACUUGGAUGCAUGCUGGUUGUACCAAAUGUAACCCAGUGGAAUUCUACAUAUAAUGCAAUGGAUCGUCUGAAAACUUGCAUUGAAGAGAAACCUCAAGAGCUCUAUGAUGUUUGUGAGAAAAUGGACAUUCCACGGCUGAAGUCAUCAGAGAUGACAUUCAUCAAAGAAUAUGUCAUGGUCAUGGCACCAGUGUCCAAGGCCCUAGAUGUUCUCCAGUCAGACAAAAUGGCAUACCUGGGAGUCUUGGUCCCCACAAUUAACAUUCUUGUUGAGAAGUUGCAAUCAAUCAAGCAAGAAAACCUCCAAUUUUGUGGGUCAUUAGUUUAUGCCAUCAUCAGUGGUGUGAACAGAAGAUUCAGUUACCUUUCCGGUAAAAGAUAUAUCUUGGCGGCGGCUUCACAUCCUAUGUUUCGUCUUACAUACCAAAUGAGCAAAAAGAUGACAUCAUCUUAAGUCUAAAACAGGAGCUUUCAGUACACAGUCCACAUGUUGCAGAGCUGGCUGUUUCAAGGGAGCCAGCAAAUGAAAGUGAUGAAAUCACAGCCUACUUCUCCAGAAGCCAGGAGAAUGUUUUGGAUGAAGUGGACAGUUUUCUACAGUCUACUGCAACCACACCUGAUAGUGCUUUCCGGCAUCUAUCAAAAAUGAAGAGAGUCUUCAUGAAGUGCAAUACUGGUGUCUCUGCCAGUGCCGCAUGUGAGCAGUUGUUUAGUGUUGGAAAAGACAUUUUCCUGCCAAAACGCAACCGUCUUUCCGACAGUCAUUUUGAGAAACUUCUCUUAUGUCGAAUUAACAGGCGCUUCUGCUCCAGUUUUAUGAACUAAUUUAAGUUGCAUGCAUUUUGUUCUUGCCUGCUCUUAUUAGUCUGAAGGACACUGCAUCUCAAUCCUGGACUGAUGGUGUGUAACCUUUCCUGUUAUUCUUGAGAGGUAUAACAGACUAUAAUUAUGCCAGGUGAAAUAAAAUACUUAACAUUUUCCAAGCAAACUAACUCACUAAGUAUAACAUUUUGAGGUUGCAACCCUUUGGAGGUCAACGUUUUGGAUGAAGUGGACAGUUUUCUGCAGUCUACUGCAACCACACCUGAUAGUGCUUUGCUUUCCCUGCUAGUGCCACAUGAUGUUCAGUGUUCUUUCUUGCCAAAAUGCAACCAUCUCUCAGACAGUAUUUUUGUGAAACUUUAAGUUGCAUACAUUUUGUUCUUGCAGUGUUACACUUGU